rnacentral:tRNA from 2 species
GGUUCCGUAGCUCAGCUGGAUAGAGCAACAGAUUUCUAAUCUGUGGGUCUAGGGUUCGAAUCCCUACGGAAUCACAA